CUACGGGCUGCUGCAGUGAGGAAUUUUGCGCAAUGGGGGGAACCCUGACGCAGCAACGCCGCGUGAGUGAUGAAGGCUUUCGGGUCGUAAAGCUCUGUCAAGUGGGAAGAACCUAUGCAGUGUUAAUAUCACUGUAUACUGACGGUACCACUGAAGGAAGCACCGGCUAACUCCGUGCCAGCAGCCGCGGUAAUACGGGGGGUGCAAGCGUUAUUCGGAAUCAUUGGGCGUAAAGGGCACGUAGGCGGCUUGGUAAGUCAGAUGUGAAAGCCCGGGGCGUAACCCCGGAAGUGCAUUUGAUACUGUCAGGCUUGAGUAUGGGAGAGGGAAGUGGAAUUCCUGGUGUAGAGGUGAAAUUCGUAGAUAUCAGGAGGAACACCGGUGGCGAAGGCGACUUCCUGGACCAAUACUGACGCUGAGGUGCGAAGGCGUGGGUAGCAAACAGGAUUAGAUACCCCCGUAGUC
rnacentral:rRNA from 1 species